rnacentral:rRNA from 1 species
AUGGCAUCGGCGAAGCACCUCCGGAACGUCGCCAUGCCUGCCGGCGGCAGCGACAUGCCCACCUCCAUGCCUCCUCCGCGACUCUCCGCCACCGCCAUGGCACCGGUCCUCGCCACGGACACGAUCUCCACCUUCGCCGGGGGGCCGAACCCGAAGUCGACGUCGUACACACGGAGCCUUGGCGACCCGGCCACGGACAGCACGCCGCGCGCCCCCGCCUCCUUGACGCGCUCCACCAUCGUCUCCCACUCUGGAGACGCCACCGCCUUCUCGAUGCCCGCCGCUAUCGCCGCUCACGCCGUGAAGAGCCCAUCGGCGCCGGCCGAGGCGAGCUCCCCCUUGGCCGCUGCGCCGAUGGCCGGGCCGAUGCAGUUGCCCAGGUACGUCGCCGGCACAGGCGGCUUCAUCAACUGCCGGUAG